rnacentral:rRNA from 1 species
GAUGAACGCUGGCGGCGUGCCUAAUACAUGCAAGUCGAGCGAACAGACGAGGAGCUUGCUCCUUUGACGUUAGCGGCGGACGGGUGAGUAACACGUGGGUAACCUCCCUAUAAGACUGGGAUAACUUCGGGAAACCGGAGCUAAUACCGGAUAAUAUUUCGAACCGCAUGGUUCGAUAGUGAAAGAUGGCUCUGCUAUCACUUAUAGAUGGACCUGCGCCGUAUUAGCUAGUUGGUAAGGUAACGGCUUACCACGGCAACGAUACGUAGCCGACCUGAGAGAGUGGUAGGCGACACUAGAACGGAGACACGGUCAAGACUCCUACGAGAGGCAGCAGUAGGGAAUCUGACGCAAUGGGCGAAAGCAUGACGGAGCAACGCCGCGUGAGUGAUGAAGGUCUUCGGAUCGUAAAACUCGGUUAUUAGGGAAAAACAAACGUGUAAGUAACUGUGCACGUAUUGACGGUACCUAAUCAGAAAGCCACGGCUAACUACGUG